AUUUGUAUAGUUUAAAUAAAACAUUAUAUUUUCAUUAUAAAAUUAGGGUUUACUCUUAUAAAUA
rnacentral:tRNA from 1 species